rnacentral:rRNA from 1 species
GAUGAACGCUGGCGGCGUGCUUAACACAUGCAAGUCGAACGAACCUUCGGGUUAGUGGCGGACGGGUGAGUAACGCGUGAGAAUCUGCCCUCAGGAGGGGGAUAACGGCUGGAAACGAGCGAUACUACCCCAUAUGCCGCGAGGUGAAACGAAUUUCGCCUGAGGAUGAGCUCGCGUCUGAUUAGCUAGUUGGUGGGGUAAAGGCCUACCAAGGCAUCGAUCAGUAGCUGGUCUGAGAGGAUGAUCAGCCACACUGGGACUGAGACACGGCCCAGACUCCUACGGGAGGCAGCAGUGGGGAAUUUUCCGCAAUGGGCGCAAGCCUGACGGAGCAACGCCGCGUGAGGGAUGAAGGCCUCUGGGCUGUAAACCUCUUUUAUCAAGGAAGAAGAUCUGACGGUACUUGAUGAAUAAGCCACGGCUAAUUCCGUGCCAGCCGCCGCAGUAA